GACGAACGCUGGCGGCGUGCUUAACACAUGCAAGUCGAACGGAAAGGCCCUGCUUUUGUGGGGUGCUCGAGUGGCGAACGGGUGAGUAACACGUGAGUAACCUGCCCUUGACUUUGGGAUAACUUCAGGAAACUGGGGCUAAUACCGGAUAGGAGCUCCUGCUGCAUGGUGGGGGUUGGAAAGUUUCGGCGGUUGGGGGUGGACUCGCGGCUUAUCAGCUUGUUGGUGGGGUAGUGGCUUACCAAGGCUUUGACGGGUAGCCGGCCUGAGAGGGUGACCGGGGGGAGGGGGAGGGAAAUACGGCCCAGGGGGCUGAGGGGGGAAGAAGGGGGGCAUAUUGCGCGAUGGGGGGCAGCCGGAUGCAGCAAGCGUGCGGGGGGGAUGACGGGGUUGGGGGUGUAAACCGAUGUCAGGAGGGGCGAAGCUUGGGGUGACGGUACCUGCAGAAGAAGCACCGGCUAACUACGUG
rnacentral:rRNA from 1 species